rnacentral:rRNA from 1 species
UACGAAGGGGGCUAGCGUUGCUCGGAAUCACUGGGCGUAAAGGGUGCGUAGGCGGGUCUUUAAGUCAGGGGUGAAAUCCUGGAGCUCAACUCCAGAACUGCCUUUGAUACUGAAGAUCUUGAGUUCGGGAGAGGUGAGUGGAACUGCGAGUGUAGAGGUGAAAUUCGUAGAUAUUCGGCGGAACACCAGUGGCGAAGGCGACUCACUGGCCCAAUACUGACGCUGAGGCGCGAAAGCGUGGGGAGCAACAGGAUUAAGAA